UGGGGAGUGGGCUAACGGCAAGCCACCUGACUCUGGAUCAGGCGAUUGUAGGUUCGAAUCCUACCUCCCCAGCCA
rnacentral:tRNA from 1 species